AGACGGGGUAAUUCCAAAAUAUUAUAUAAAUACUGCAGUAUGACACCUCAGAACUGCGGACUUUUUAAGGAACUUUAUACUAAACUUUCUUUUAAUAGCAGCUGAUACUAUUUUUUAAUGAUCUAUUCAUUAUUCAUUAGUAAUCAUAACUGCCACCUACUUAUACAGGACGUUGGGAUUGCUUUGUCUUCCAAAUUCCUCCCU